rnacentral:rRNA from 1 species
UACAGAGGGGGCAAGCGUUGUUCGGAAUUACUGGGCGUAAAGGGCGCGUAGGCGGCCCACUAAGUCGAACGUGAAAUCCCCGGGCUCAACCCGGGAACUGCGUCCGAUACUGGUGGGCUUGAAUCCGGGAGAGGGAUGCGGAAUUCCAGGUGUAGCGGUGAAAUGCGUAGAUAUCUGGAGGAACACCGGUGGCGAAGGCGGCAUCCUGGACCGGUAUUGACACUGAGGAGCGAAAGCCAGGGGAGCAAACGGG